ACAUAGUUUGGGCAAGUAUUAAAGCAGGAAAUCCAACAUAUGCUUUGGUUAGAAAAACACCUGGCAAUGUUAACAAGCCAAAGCUUAUUACAGCUGCUAAUCCUGAAACCAAGGAAGAGCUUAUUGAUAAUUACCAAUCUUUAGGAGUUAUUCUACUUGAAGUAAGUGAUUUCAAUUUCUGAAAUAAUUUUAUAUUUUAUACUAAUUAAAUUUUUCUAAUCAAUAUGUCUUUGACUCUGCAGGGUGAUAUAAAUGAUCAUGAAACUCUUGUUAAGGCAAUCAAGCAAGUUGAUAUUGUGAUUUGUGCUGCUGGUAGACUACUAAUUGAGGAUCAGGUCAAGAUUAUUAAAGCAAUUAAAGAAGCUGGAAACGUUAAGGUGAGCAAAUUUGUCACUACACCACACUAAAUAAGUUCAAAUAAGUCAAUCUAAAUAAACUAUUAAGUAAUAGCUCCUUUGCUGGUUAGAUUUCGGCUUGUUAUAUUGAAUGUUGGUACUAAAUUUCUUGUGUCUACAGAAAUUUUUCCCAUCCGAAUUUGGGCUAGACGUGGACCGUCACGAGGCAGUUGAGCCAGUUAGACAAGUUUUUGAAGAAAAAGCGAGUAUCCGAAGAGUAAUUGAAGCUGAAGGAGUUCCUUACACUUACCUUUGUUGCCACGCCUUUACCGGUUACUUCUUACGUAACUUGGCUCAACUCGACGUCACUGAUCCUCCUCGGGAUAAAGUUGUCAUUCUUGGAGAUGGAAAUGUGAAAGGUAGCAAACUUAUUCACAAAACAGUUUUAGUACUAGUAUUCUACUAAACAUACAUCAUUCAAUUGUUUCAACAUUUGCCUUAAUUUUUUUUUUUUUCAGGAGCUUAUGUCACUGAGGCUGAUGUUGGGACUUUUACCAUUAAAGCAGCAAAUGAUCCCAACACAUUGAACAAAGCUGUCCAUAUAAGACUCCCCAAAAAUUAUUUGACCCAAAAUGAGGUUAUUUCUCUUUGGGAGAAAAAGAUUGGGAAGACUCUUGAGAAAACUUAUGUUUCAGAGGAACAAGUUCUCAAGGAUAUUCAAGGUCAGUAAAAUAAACGCUUUAUAAAUAUUGUUAAGAAUUUUUACAAUGUUAAUCAAUCAAUAAAUCGUUAAAAUUAUUUGAUUUUAAUUAUAUCUAUGCUUACUACGCAGAAUCUUCAUUCCCUCAUAACUACUUGUUGGCAUUGUAUCAUUCACAACAAAUAAAAGGAGAUGCAGUUUAUGAGAUUGAUCCAACCAAAGAUAUUGAAGCUUCUGAAGCCUAUCCUGAUGUCACAUACACCACUGCUGAUGAAUAUUUGAAUCAAUUUGUCUAAGUUUGUCAUCCCGGAAAUGUUAAAUAAGACAAAGAUUAUUUUUUCUUAAUAGUUUCACAUGUUGUACCACAUCAAUUAUAUUGUUAGUUGUCCUUGUUGUCUUGUUCUCAAUAAACCUUCCAAUUGAUGUAAUAUUUUACAAAAAUAAUAAUAUUGUAUUGUUCUAUUGUUUGCACAUUUGUGUCACUAGUAUCACUCUAUUAUUUUGUUGUUGCCCGUGAAUGGGUGACUCAAUAAAUUAUUUAAUACCCACGUCAGGAUGGACCGAUCUACCGUAUGAAGCAAUAUUUGUUUGGUCUCGGUUAUAAAUUUAAAUUAUUUACACACAUGCAAAAGAAAAAAAGUAGAAAGAAUGAACCAAUAUUUUUUUAUUUUAUUUUUAUGGGGGUGUUUGUUUGGGAGAUAAAAAAUAUAUUCCUGGGUAUAAGGGCAUUAAAUAUGAUAUUCCUAUGUUUGGUAGAAGGGAACAAAAAUAAUAUACCCAGGAAUAAAUGAUUCCCAGGAAUCUUAUUUACCCGUUGACUCUCUAUUUUUAUUCCCGGGGGUGGGGGGCUGGAAUCUUCAAUUCCUGAGAAUGAAAUCUCCACAUUCAUGACGAAAACCCACCCAUACCCCUAUUUUACCCACGCUUCUUCCCUCCUAAUUUUUCCCACGCGUUUUCUAAAUUAAUAGAAACCCACAUAUAUAUAAACCCCUCUUUGCUCUCUCUUUUCACUCAUCUGGAUCCAGAUCCAUCCAUAACAGGUUUGUGUCUUAUGUUUUGUUUUGUUUUUUGCGUUUUUUUAACUGCUGGACAGAUUCUCGGCCUGCCAGGCUGCUGUACCAGCGGAGCUGGGCCGCGCAAAUGCGAGUUUCGGUGACUGACAUUCGAGCGGGCAUCCACCAUUCUGUUGCUGUUGCAUGUCAAAGGUGUUGGGCAGUCUGCCAACCUUCAAUUAAAUGGCGUGUAACAACUUGAAACAGGGUACUCUUGUUAUGUAUUAAAAAACAAGUAUAUACCCUGACCAAUACCUUUGUUGACUCGCAUAAUUUACUUUGCUUGAUUAAAAAUAACAUGAAAAAUAUUAUUUUUCAUCAAUUUAAUGUAAAAGGGUAUUUUAAUAAUUUUGACAUUUAUUCCUGGGAUUAUACAUUUUAAACCAAACAUAUUUUUAGUAUUCCCAGGAAUUUAGAAAGAAAGUUCCAAGGAAUUCAAAUUGGUAACCAAACACUUUUUUAAAAUAUUCCUAGGAAUAUAAUUCCAAGGAAUAUAUUCCUGGGAAAAUUAUUCCAGGGAAUAAUUUUUGCAUCUGUGAAACAAACGGCCCCUAUAUUAUUGAAAUAAGUGCCCUAAAGGCAUUUGUUAGCAUUCUCCUUAAAAUAAUUAUAUGAUGUGUAUUUUGAUUGUGCACUUAAAUGAUUUGAAUUUGUGGUUGUGACUAUAUAAAAAUUAUUCGACGGCAUGAUCAACAGACCGUGUGAACAAUUGAAAUAUAUUAAAUAAUCAUGUUCAGACAUCCCUUACUUGUAGAGGUGUCAAAUGGACUGGACAACCCAGUUCGGCUUAAGAGUUUUGACUACAUAAAUGAACCAGUCUGACCAAGCCCAUUUGUAAUUGGGCCGCAUAAAAUAUAAUUGAAUGGAUAUAGAAGUAUAAAUAUUUUUUACAUUACCAUUAAAUACUAAUUAAACUCUAGAUUUAUUUCUUCAAUUGAAUCAAAUUAAUACUACAUCCGUCCAUAAUUAUAGGAUCCUUUUGAAAAAUAACAGGAAUUAAGAAAAUUAAAAGUGAUAAUAAAUUUGUUUUUAAUUACAAUUGUUUUUACAAAUUUGUCUUUUAAGAGUGGGUUAGUCCGUUAAUGUAUGUUUACAAUGUAGUAUUUAAUGAUGAUUGAAGAAAAAGAUAUACAAUAAAUAGGGGUAUGGUGGUAAAGAAUUAAUUAAUAUAUUUGGAAAUAGCAAAGAGAUUUUUAUAAAAAGAGACAAAAAAAUUCUCAAAAGGGUCCUAUAAUUAGGGACAGAGACAGUAGUUUAUAAACUUUAGAAUUUUAAAACUUUGAACUAAAUUUAUGCAUUUUUAUUAAGUUGACUUAUUUCAAUAUAUUUUAUUAAUAAAUUUUUAAAGUAGUUGAUAAUGUUUUUAAAAAAUAUAGCGUUUUUUAACAAAAAUAAAAUAAAAGUAUAGAUAGUAGGUCGGUCCGAAGUCCGAUAGGUUAGCCUGACUCGGCCCCAUUUUCAUAUGGAUCAAAUGAGCUAAGGUAAAAAAAAAUACGAGAGUAUUUUUAGUUAGGUUUGUGGUUCGGCCCAAAAUGUGUCAUUUUUUAUGUCUCUACUUACUAGCCAUCUCACCAUUAACAACGAUUUGUCAACUAAACAAUGUCAUCUUCUUUUCUAUUAAAGUUAACCCGGAAGCCCUAAUUUUAACCUAAACUAUAUUGCAUAAAUUUACUGUUUUAACCCUAAUGCUUAAUUCCUUUGUUUAAUCCUAUUAACCCUAUUUCUUGGUUGAAACAAAUUGAACCUAAUCUCCUAUUUUCUUGAAUAAAACAAAUUGGCCCUAUUUCUUCAACAAAACAAAUCGCUUUAUUUCUUGCUUUAAAAAAGAAACAACAACUCAAGUUGGGAUACUCUACUUGACCUAGAAGAGAAAUAACGGAAAGAAGAACUUGCCUUUUUGAGAACUUAUUGUCGGAACUCGGAAGCAAUGGUGAUCUGCUAAGUUUAUGGCGAGUUCGAUUGAUUAUGAGCUGCUAAGUUCGAUUGAGUAAGAGUUCGAUUGAUUAUGAGUUGCGAAGUUCCAUUGAGUAACAGGCAACAAAUCCUUCUUCUCAUGGCGGUAGGGAUGAGAGAUUUUGCUUACAACAAAUUAAUGGCAUGAUCAUAGGAAAGAGAUUUUAGUUUCUAGGUUUAGUAAGAACAAUGGGAUGAGAAAUGAUGAGGUAGAGUUGCAUGUGAAGAUAUGAUGAGGGAGAUAAAGAUGUUGAUAGGUUUUGGAAUAGGAAAGUAAUUUUUAUGAGAGAGGUUGACUACAGCUAUAAAAUAAAUGAUAAUUAUAUUUAUUUGAUACUUCCUAAAUGUUGUUACUUGAGAGUUAAAACGAUCUCUUUCCUGUGCAAACUAAAAAAUAAAGAGAAUAUAUGAAUUUUUAAUUCCAGCUAUUUUUUAUUCUUUUUUUUUUUUGUCUUUGAAAAUUGAUCUUUAAACUUCAUUAUUUGAAAAAAUCGAUUAUUUAUACUUUAACUAUUUUUAUUAAACUUAAUGUCUACUAAAAAUACAAUCUUAUUUCUUCUUAAUUUUUUAACACGUGAUCAAAAUUAUAUCUUUUUGUGUCUUUUGCUCCAACUUCCCUCUAUUUUUGCUUUCUUAAAAACAAAUUAAAACAAACUCACUCGAUAGAAUUCACUAACUUAAUCUUUUUUUAAAGAAAAAACAAGCUUAAUCUUAAUAAAUAUAUAAAGAGUUAAAAAUAAUUUACAAUCUAUUUUCUUUCUCUUUCUCUAAUUAUGAAGUUAAUGACCGAUAAAAACAAAUUUUUGCCUCAUCUUAAUAUUUUGACACCUCAACAUAUAUUUAUCUUUGUAUGUCUUUUGUAACAAAAUAUCCUAUUUCGCUGAGGGAGAAAAUAACUUUCAAAAGAUUGAUGUGAUUUUAUAACAAAAAAUUCAUUUUAUAUUGAUAUAUCUAUACAAUCUAAAAUAUUUGAAUACCGGACAAAUUACUCUUAAAAAAAAAAAUCAUCGGCAAAUUAUAAUAACCUCCCUUAAGAUCUUCUUAAAUACUAACCUUCCUUAAGGUCUUCUUAAUUGAAAAGCACUUCCCCUAUAAUAUAACACGGUUUAAACUUCGUUCAUUCUAUUUUUUUUAGCAAUUAACUUCUCCAUACGAGUAUAAACUCACUUAAUUUUUCGACCAUUUUUUCUUUCCAUUUUUCACUUUAGUGAUUUUCUCAACUUAUUGUUCCUCAAUUAAGGUGAUUUAAUUUUUAAACUCUAAUAUAAUAAAACGGAUAUAUCAAAGAUUAUUUUCUUUUCAUUGAUCAACUGCAAUGUCCAUCCACUAAAAUUCUUCUCAUUUCUAUAUUCUCUCCUGAUCUCUUAUGUAAUUGCCGAUGUUUGAUUCUAUUUGGCGGUAUGAACAAAUGUUGUUAUUGUUUCUUCAUUGCGAGAAAAAAACUCAUUUAAACAUAAUUGUGAAAAGAGAAAUUAGAUACAAACAAACCAAAAUGACUGAAAUUAAAUUGUAUAUUUACAAAGUUAUUGAAAUGGAAAAAAUGUGGGAAGAUUGAUGUGUUGGAAAAUUAGAAGGCGUGCUUGUGUUAUUUAAGAAAAUCUCAAGGGAUGUCAAUGUAAUUUACCCUUUUAUCAUUAAUGUUGACUUUAUCAUUAGUUUUUUCUUAUUUUUUCAAUUCAUAUAGCAUUGCAAUGCGCUUUGAUGCAUACCCCCGCUUCAAAUUAGCUCGUGCGGAGAGCACGGGUUUGUUGCUAGUUGAUAUAAAUAAUGUGAUUGAUGUCACUUUCAGUUAGCCCCCAAAACUUUGCAUAAAGGGUGAUUCACUGUCAAUUAAAAUUUCUGAAGAUUUAUACCAAGUAGGGUUGGAAAAAUACAAGAACGAAUUGCAUGGUAGAUUUAAGUUGUAAAGGAGGAUAUGCCACCAUGGUCGUAUCUGAGGUAGGAUAAAGAGAACGACUGUACUAGACUUCAAAAAAUAAGUUCAAAAAAAUACAAAAAUAAUACUUAAAAGUUUAGUUCUUUGUUGGCACAUAUCUAGAAAUGCUUGUAGAAAUUGUUUUGUAUGAGCAUUUAAAUAUUAAAUAAAAAAUCAUAAUUUUAUACGAAGUUUGAUAUUUUUAUUAGAUUAUUUCUUAGCGUAAUAAAAACCAUCAUUUUCAAGUAAAUUAUUUUCACACUUUAGAAAUUCAAUUUUUUUAUAUGCUUAUUAUUUAAGACUCAAAUUGUAGAUUUACCCUUAGGACACCAAAAUCUUAGAAACGAACAUGUAUGUCACUCAAGUCGGAUGACCUUCAAUUCAAAUUAGCCAAAUUAUUGAAAUCAUUAUGUCAUUGAAAAAAUGAUACCACUAGGUAAGGGUUUUUACGAAAUUUCAUUUAGUUUCUAAAGAGGGUUUAAGAAGGACAUGGAUUAUGGGAGCACAAUCUUUGCAUUUGGGUAUCUUGUCUUUGCUUCGAUGGACACCAGAUUUCAGUUUAAGGAAACGAAGACAAACAAAUGUAGAAUGUUGUUAUCUCCAGUUAUACUUCCUUCAAUUUGUGAGUAAGUAAAAUUAUGGCUUAAUUACCUAUUUUGUUUCUUUCACUGAAUUACAUAAAACAUGUGACAUGUCUAAAAGAAAUUCAAUUUGGCUAUCAACAUUGUUGAAUGUGACUUAAACUUUCAUGUUUGAAUGGUGAAAAAAUGGUUUGCUAUUGUCCAAUAUGAAAGGCAUAUCCGGUGGUGAGGCGCAAGGCAUACUCUGGGUGUUUUUAUCACAUUUCGGUUCUGUCCCACAUGCCUUGCGCAUGGAGCAACAUGCAAGGCGCAUCCUGGAUAUGCUAACUUGAUGCAAGGUGCCUACAUCAGGUACAUCAUCUAUGAUUUCCAGUUUUCUCAUUCUUUUGUGAUUAAUCUUAUGAAACUAAAGAAGAUAGCUCUUAAGUAUCUUAGAGGCUAAAAGUAGAGGGUCUUUGUGUGAGAUUUUUAGGUUGGGCGGGAAACACAUUGUAAAUUUGAAUGUUGGCAACAAGUUAUGCAAGCUGAACUUUCUGCUCUUGAGACUCCUGGUACAUGGAAAAUUGUGGAUUUACCAUAAAAUGUGAAACAAAUAGGUUACAGAUGGAUUUAUAAGAUCAAACAUUAUGUUGAUGGAUCUAUUGAGAGGUACAAAGCCAGACUUAUUGCAAAAGGGUACAAUAUUUGAUAGAAAGACUUGAUUAUUUUAUCGCAUACUCACCAGUUGAUGUAAUAUUUUAGAAAAAUAACAAUAUUGUAUUUUGUUCUAUUGUUUGCACAUUUCACAUUUGUGUCACUAGUGUUCAGUUUUGAAAAUUUUACAUCACUCUAUUAUUUUAUUGUUGCCCGUGAAUGGGUGACUCAAAAACUUAUUUAAAACACACGUCAGGAUGGACCGAUCUAUACCACAUGAAGCAAUUUUAUUUAUUUAUUUUAAACAAUGUACCUUUUGGACAUUGUGUGGUCACAAAUUCUUCAAAAAUAAAAUUUAAAUUAUUUACACAUAUGCAAAUGAAAAAAUUAGAAAAAAAAGAAGCGAUAUCUUUUAUUAUCAUUUUUUUGAAGAGACUAAAAUGAAUUAUAUUACCACCACGAAAGUCUUCCUAGCACAAGGGAUGUCAAGGAAUAAAAACCUCAAAGUCAAACAAAAUAAUAAAUUACAACAAGGCAAAAGCCAUCACCACAAAACAACCUGAAACAACACAACAAUUAUCCUAUGCCUAGUAAAGUGAACGAACUAAGCCACCAACCAUGAUAGUUAAAAUGAAGAGUAGCAUACUUCGCCUUCAACCACUUGAAUGUUAGCAACUUAAUCCUAUCCACCACCUGCAUAAUGGCGCUAUCAUUAGCAUUAAAAAUUAUGUUGUUUCUUUCCUUCCAUAUUUCCCACAUAGUCGCAAACCAAAUCACCUGAAGAAUAGAUUGCCUCGACUUAGAGCCACCGCUUAAAAAACUGAAUUGAAUAAAAUGCCCCGAAACAUCUAAAGGCAUCGCUGUAGCUAUACCAAUCCAUUGAUAUAUAUAAUUCCAAACCGAUCCAAAAAGACUACAAUGUAAGAAUAAAUGGUUUUAUGUUUCAACAAAACCGCAUCCACCAACACAAAUUUGAGCGUCAAAAUCUAAAACAUGACGCCUAUGAAGAUUAACCUUUGUAGGAAGCCGGUCACGAAAUACACGCCACGCAAAAAGCACCACCUUCAAAGGGACAUCCUUAUGCCAAAAAGAAGGCAAACGCACCACAUUAUCAACAUGAACCUGCGCCAUGAGAGUAGUGUCUGCACUUUUUACUGUAUAACAGGAAGUAGGAUCCGCGUUCCACUUCCAAAAAUCCUUUAUGUGAACCUGAAAAGAAACAUUUUGAAGUAAAAGCCUAAGCUCCCCUACCGACUCUUCCUCCCAAGCCCACAGCCUACGCCUCCACCUCCACGCCCCACCCUCCUCCUCCCACCCUAACGCUCUCAUCGCUGCAACAGACUCCUCCUUUAGAAGCGACAACUCAUACAACCUACUAAAUCUAUCCCGAAGCGACACUCGCUUCACCCAAACAUCCGUCCAAAACAAGACACUAGACCCAUCACCCAAAGAACGACUAAUAUUAUUAUUAAACCAGCCCUCAGAUCGCAAGGCCACUAUACUUCGCCACCACGCGGAACCAUCACGACCUCCACUACACAAGUGACCGCCCUCCAAACCAUUUCGCGCCGCUAACACCCUAAACCACAGACUAUCCCUAUCCACCAACACCACUUCCCUAAUAAUGCUAAAUUAAAUUCUUUAAUUCUCCUAACCCCCAAACCUCCAACUUCCUGACUCCGACAAACAGAAUUCCAAUCAACCCAAAUAAUUUUCCUGUGGUCUGCACUCCCCCCCCCCCCAAAAAAAAUUAUUUAAAAUAGAUUCAAUAGAAGAAACAAUACCUGACGGAGCCUUGAAAAAAGAAAGAGCAUAAACAGGCAGGGACGAUAGGACGGACUUCAGUAGAACCAACCGGCCACCCAAAGACAAGUGUUUCGACUUCCAACCCAACAAUCUAGACUUAAGACGGAAUGAUUUAUAUUUUGUAUAUGUACCUAAAUGAUUUGAAUUCGUGGUUGUGACCACACAAAACUUAUCCGACAGAAUGAUCAAUAGACUAUGUAGACAAUUGAAAUAUAUUAAAUAAUCAUUUUCGGAUAUCCCUUACUUUGUAGAGGUGUCAAAUGAAUUGAUCCGACUCAGUCCGGACUGAGAGGUCCGACUACAUAAUUUGGUCAGAACGACCCAACCCAUUUGUAACUGGACCGCAUAUUAUAGAGCCCGACCUGAUCUAUAGGUCAUGGACCAACCCGACCCGUUUAUUUAUUUAUUCACUUUUUUUUCUUUCUUUUUUUUUAUGUAUUUUUUAUAUAUUAGUUACCCACAACAAUCUUUUUUCUCAAAUAUGAUUGGAUGAACAUAGAAAUGCAAAUAAUUUUUACAUUAACAUUAAAUACUAAUUAAACUUGAGAUUUAUUCCUUCAAUUGAUUCAAUUAAUAAUUUAUAAACUUUAGAAUUUUAAAUCUUUGAGCUAAAUUUAUCCGAUUUUAUUAAGUUUACUUAUUUAAUUUUUUUUUUUAUUAAUGACUAUUAAAGCAGUUGAUAAAGUCUUAAAAAAUAUAGCGUUUUUAACAAAAAUCAAAUGGAAAUAUUGAUAGUGGACCGGUCCGAAGCCUGAUAGGUUAGCCCGACUCGGCCUAUUUUUAUAUGAAAAUUACUCUUCUUCCUUUUAAAAUUGUUUAUUCUCUUAAGAUCGGUUGACCCGACUGAAAAUGUGAUUGAAUCGAUUUUAAAAGUGUUAGCAAGAGUUAACUACCGCUGAAAAAUACCUAACGUGAGUUAACUUCCGCUUAUAUAAGAGAAUGAUCAAUUUUGAAAGGAAUAAGAGCAAUUUUCUUUUUAUAUGGGUCAAAUGAGUUACGGUCAAAAAAGUCCGAAAAAUGCUCUUCUCUCAAAAAGAUUUGCUCACUUCCAACCAAACUUACAAAAAUACUCCACAUAAGUUAAGUCACACAUAUAUUAAACUCAGCAUGACUUAACUCACGUUAAAAAUUUAAACUGAACUGCAACAUAAAUUAACUCACCUUAGUUUUCUUUCUCAAGUUUCACAUGAAAAUCUUGCUCCUGCUAAGAUGCUUAUUUAAUUAUUUAAUAUAUUGCUGUUGAUAUGAUUGUGUGUACCUGUCGCAGUAAUGCAAAGUAGAAGGUAUCCAGCAUGACCCAUACCAUGAUGCUAGCAGCAGUACACACGUGUGUUGUUAGGACAGCAAGAGAUGCAAUGGUCCAUACACCCAUUUAAACCAUUAUAAGCAUUGGAGGAGCAAGAUUUUCAUGUGAAAAUUGAGAAAGAAAACCAGCGUCAGUUAACUUACGAUGGGAUUUAGUGUGAGUUUUUAGCAUGGCUUAAGUCACGUAGGUUGUAUUCCAGUAUGAUUUAAGUAAGUUGGGUUUAACACUUGCGUGAUUUAACUCACGCGAGGAUAUUUUCAAAAAUUUGGUUGAGAAUAAACAAAUCUUGUUGAAAAAAGAGCAUUUUUCAAAAAGUCCGAAUGCAUUUUGGGCCGUCUUUUUUAGAUCCAGCCCAAAAUGUGUUAGUUUUUGCAAUCUCUACCUACUUGCCAUCUCACUAUUAACAACGAUUUAUCAACUAAACUAAACAAUGCCAUUUUUUAUACAUGCACUAAAUAAUGUGAUUGAUGUCACUGUCACACAACCCCCAAAACUUUGCAUAAAGGGGGAUUCAUUGUCAAUAAAAAUUCCUAGGAUUUAUACCAACCAGGGUUGGAAAAAUACAAAAACAAACUGCAUGGUAGAUUUACGCUGCAAAGAGGGAUAUGCCAUGGCCGUAUCUUAGGCAGGGCAAAGAGGACGAUCAUACUAGUUCUCACAUAAUAACUUCAAAUUUAGAUCUCAAAAUUCAAAAAUAAUAUUUAAAUAUUUAGUUCUUUGUUGGCACAUAUCUAAAAAUGCUCAUAGAAAUUGUUUUGUAUGAGUAAUUAAUAUUAAAUAAAAAAUUUCAAUAUUUUAUAUGAAGUCCAAUGUUUUAUUAGAUUAUUUCUUAGCGUAAUAAAAACUAUUAUUUUCAAGCAAAUUUUUUUCACAUUUUAGAAAUUCAAUUUUUUGUAUAUAUUUAUUAAUUAUGAUCCAAAUUGUAGGUUUAUCUUUAAACCACCAAAAUCUUAGAAACGGGCUUGUAUGCAUCUCAAGUCGGACGACCUUCAAUUCAAAUUAGUCAAAUUAUAGAAACCAUUAUGCCGUUGAAAAGAGGCUUUAAGAAGGACCUGAAUUCUGAGAGCACAGACUUUAUAUUUGGGUAUCUUGUGUUUGCUUCAGUGGACACCACACUUCAAUCUAUGGAAACAAAGACAAACAAAUGUACAAUGUUGUUAUCACCAAUUAUAUUUCCUUCAAUUUGCAAAGAAGUAAAAUCAUGGCUUAAUUACAUAUUUAGUUCCUUUCACUGAAUUACAUAAAACAUUUGACAUGUCUUAAAGAAAUCCAAUUUGGCUAUCAACAUUGUUGAAUGUGACUUAAACUUUCAUGUUUGAAUGGUGAAAAAAUGGUUUGUUAUUGUCCAAUAUGCAAGGCAUAUGCGGUGGUGAGGCGCAAGGAGCAUCCUGGAUCUGCUGACUGUGCGCAAGGUGUCUGCAUCAAGUCCAAUAUCUAUGGAAUUUCAGUUUUCUCAUCCUUUUGUGGUUGUGAAACUAAACAAGAUAGCUUUUAAGAAUCUUAGAGACUAACAGUUGAGUUGAGGGUUUUAAGUAAGAUUUUUAGGUUGUGAAACUCAUUAUAAAUAUUUUGGAGAUUAAAAGUAGUUGAGUCUCUUGAUCACAAAAAGAUAUAGAAAAAUGGGUAAAAAUUAGAUUGUUCAUAGAGAACUUGUUCAAGCUAAUUUUUUAUAACUUAUUUUUAUCAUUUGUAAGAAUUAAACUCAUUUAUUGGGAAUUGGAGAGUUGCAUUUUCCCAUAUGUAGGUUAUUAUUGUUGGACCAAACUGAAAACCAAAUCUUGAUGUGUUUAUUUCUCUACUCUCUUUAUUUUGUUGUUGUUGCUUUGAUUGUGGAUUUUCUUUACGCUUUUUUGUUACAUCGACAAUUAUAAAAAAUUAACAAUCUAUUGAAACUCAUUUCAAGCGCUCUAAGUGUUUAAGAACAAUUUAUGUUGAGUGAUUAAACACAUUUUUUUUUGUAAUAGCUGUAUAUAUCUAUCAAAUGAAGACAAAUUCUUUGUAUUUUUUUCUUUUUAUUUAUUAUAUUUACUUUUUGCUUAAAAAAAACGAAGAGAAAUUCAACAUGCAGGUUGUGUGGUGUCAUUGUUGAAAAAUUGUGAAGUAUAGGUUUCAAGUUGAAUAUUAAAAAAUCCUUAAAAAGUUAGAUGUAUCAUCGAUAAUUUGGAUUAUAGAUGGAUGAUACGAUGGAUACAUACUCAACCAAAUUGUUUUCGUAAGCUGAGUUUUUUGUAUAUAUAUAUUACAACUGACUAGUAGUAUGUUUUAUGCGGAGUUAAUAGACUUAAGAGAAGGUGUCAAUCUUGACCAACAGGGGCUACUUCUAAUUCAACAAUAAUGGAAUAUUAUUAAAUUUGGUCACCAAAACACACAGAGAGUAGUAGAUAGAUGGAAGUUGGUGGCAAUCCAAAUUAGUCCUAUAAAUAUCAAACAAAGUAUAGUUUAUUCAUAACACACUCACUACUACUUUGGUAACUUACUCAGAACAAGAAAAAACAGACACACAUAAACACACUUGUUUUUUUACUAAAGUUAUUUUUUCUUCCAAUGGCAACUGAAAACAAAAUCCUGAUCCUAGGACCAACAGGAGCUAUUGGAAGACACAUAGUUUGGGCAAGUAUUAAAGCAGGAAAUCCAACAUAUGCUUUGGUUAGAAAAACACCUGGCAAUGUUAACAAGCCAAAGCUUAUUACAGCUGCUAAUCCUGAAACCAAGGAAGAGCUUAUUGAUAAUUACCAAUCUUUAGGAGUUAUUCUACUUGAAGUAAGUGAUUUCAAUUUCUGAAAUAAUUUUAUAUUUUAUACUAAUU
rnacentral:lncRNA from 1 species